ACGCUGGCGGCAGGCCUAACACAUGCAAGUCGAGCGGAUGAAAGGAGCUUGCUCCUGGAUUCAGCGGCGGACGGGUGAGUAAUGCCUAGGAAUCUGCCUGGUAGUGGGGGACAACGUUUCGAAAGGAACGCUAAUACCGCAUACGUCCUACGGGAGAAAGCAGGGGACCUUCGGGCCUUGCGCUAUCAGAUGAGCCUAGGUCGGAUUAGCUAGUUGGUGAGGUAAUGGCUCACCAAGGCGACGAUCCGUAACUGGUCUGAGAGGAUGAUCAGUCGCACUGGAACUGAGACACGGUCCAGACUCCUACGGGAGGCAGCAGUGGGGAAUAUUGGACAAUGGGCGAAAGCCUGAUCCAGCCAUGCCGCGUGUGUGAAGAAGGUCUUCGGAUUGUAAAGCACUUUAAGUUGGGAGGAAGGGCAGUAAAUUAAUACUUUGCUGUUUUGACGUUACCGACAGAAUAAGCACCGGCUAACUCUGUGCCAGCAGCCGCGGUAAUACAGAGGGUGCAAGCGUUAAUCGGAAUUACUGGGCGUAAAGCGCGCGUAGGUGGUUUGUUAAGUUGGAUGUGAAAUCCCCGGGCUCAACCUGGGAACUGCAUCCAAAACUGGCAAGCUAGAGUAUGGUAGAGGGUGGUGGAAUUUCCUGUGUAGCGGUGAAAUGCGUAGAUAUAGGAAGGAACACCAGUGGCGAAGGCGACCACCUGGACUGAUACUGACACUGAGGUGCGAAAGCGUGGGGAGCAAAC
rnacentral:rRNA from 1 species